rnacentral:rRNA from 1 species
AACGAACGUUAGCGGCGCGCCUAACACAUGCAAGUCGCACGAGAAAGGGCUUCGGCCCCGGUAAAGUGGCGCACGGGUGAGUAACACGUGGGUAACCUGCCCUCGAGCGGGGGAUAACAUUCCGAAAGGAGUGCUAAUACCGCAUAAGACCACGACCUCGAAAGAGGAGGGGGUAAAAGCUGGCCUCUGUACACAAGCUAGCACUUGAGGAUGGGCCCGCGGCGCAUCAGCUAGUUGGUGGGGUAAUGGCCCACCAAGGCUAAGACGCGUAGCUGGUCUGAGAGGAUGAUCAGCCACACUGGAACUGAGACACGGUCCAGACUCCUACGGGAGGCAGCAGUGGGGAAUCUUGCGCAAUGGGCGAAAGCCCGACGCAGCGACGCCGCGUGAGUGAUGAAGGCCUUCGGGUUGUAAAGCUCUGUGGGGAGAGACGAAUAAGUGCAGCCUAAUACGUUGCAUGAUGACGGUAUCUCCUUAGCAAGCACCGGCUAACUCUGUGCCAGCCGCCGCGGUAAUAC